rnacentral:rRNA from 1 species
GAUGAACGCUGGCGGCGUGCCUAAUACAUGCAAGUCGAGCGAAUGGAUUAAGAGCUUGCUCUUAUGAAGUUAGCGGCGGACGGGUGAGUAACACGUGGGUAACCUGCCCAUAAGACUGGGAUAACUCCGGGAAACCGGGGCUAAUACCGGAUAACAUUUUGAACCGCAUGGUUCGAAAUUGAAAGGCGGCUUCGGCUGUCACUUAUGGAUGGACCCGCGUCGCAUUAGCUAGUUGGUGAGGUAACGGCUCACCAAGGCAACGAUGCGUAGCCGACCUGAGAGGGUGAUCGGCGACACUGGGACUGAGACACGGCCCAGACUCCUACGGGGGGCAGCAGUAGGGAAUCUUCCGCAAUGGACGGAAGUCUGACGGAGCAACGCCGCGUGAGUGAUGAAGGCUUUCGGGUCGUAAAACUCUGUUGUUAGGGAAGAACAAGUGCUAGUUGAAUAAGCUGGCACCUUGACGGUACCUAACCAGAAAGCCACGGCUAACUACGUGCCAGCCGCCGCGGUAA